AUUCCAGCUCCAGUAGCGUAUAUUAAAGUUGUUGCAGUUAAAAAGCUCGUAGUUGGAUUUCUGGUUUCACAGAACUGGCCUACUUCCUCAAGGUCGUGUGCGCCGUGUUUUGUGUACCAUCCUUCUAGAAAUUGUGUUCCAUCCCUUCACUGGGAUAGAUCCGAGAUCUAGAUCUUUUACUUUGAAGAAAUUAGAGUGUUCAAAGCAGGCUCGCGCUGUGAAUACAUUAGCAUGGAAUAAUAAUUUAGGACUUGGUAUCCUAUUUUGUUGGUUUUCAGGAUCUAAGUAAUGAUUGAUAGGGAUAGUUGGGGGUGCUAGUAUUCCGCCGGGAGAGGUGAAAUUCUCAGACCAGCGGAAGACGAACCACUGCGAAAGCAUUUGCCAGGGAUGUUUUCAUCG
rnacentral:rRNA from 1 species